UUUGUAAUUUUGUAUGUACAGCCAACUGGUUGGUCAUGGGCAUCGAUAUCAGCAAGGUUGUUUCGCACUGGACAGUCUUCAGAACAGAAAUUGAAAGGAUAUGAAGACGACGUGCAGUUGGCUGAUCAGAACAUGCAACAAUUACAAGAGGAGCUGUCCUCAUUUGUCGACACGGCCGUUAAGGAGACUAAAGACUUUCAUUCCCAGAAGAAGCACGAUUUUCAAGAACUACUUCUGUCAUCAACUCGUCGCCAACUAGAACUAGCUAAUCAAACUCUCUCUAAGUGGGAGAACAUACGGGACACUCUACAGUUAUUGUGAUUGAUAUCAACAUACGAGUUUUUGAAUUUACAGUACUACACAAUAUCCCUAAUGCAUGAGUGUACAUACAGUUCGUUGACCUGUAUGGAGUGUCUCUCUGGUCGUCGUAUUUCAUGUUGACUGUAAACGAUCAAUGCUGUUUCUUAAGAUUUAUUUUGAGAUUGAAAUUAAUGCAAUGUGAUCAGGAUGAUGUGUUG